UUAGACUGGCCCCAGCAGCGCUGCAGCCUCAAUGUGCUACACAUCUUUUAGCAGCUUCUCUGCUAGAUAGCUUUUCUACACCAGUACCAGUGGGCCCCCCUAGGUUGUUCGUGGAUCGGUUCCUUGUGGCCCUAUUGAUGCUUGCUGAUUGGUGAUGCUUACUCGUGUCUGACCCGGCUGGGUCGGUCAGGAGGUGGUCUUCUCUGUAGGGUGAUGCCUCUGUUUCUAACGCUCCUCAUUUGAACAAAAUAUCAUCCCAUGUGUUCCAAGCUCCCGAUGAAGCGGAUCAGCUCCGCGAAACUAGUAGAGCCAAUUGUGGAACACUAUACAUGGUUAAAGGAUUGAACCAAGAGUGGACCAGUGCGAACCAAAGUUCUUCAGUGAUCCAUACCAACAGAUUCACUCAGCACGGCCCACAGUCUUUGGUUCUAAUCAU